UACGAAGGGGGCUAGCGUUGUUCGGAAUUACUGGGCGUAAAGCGCGCGCAGGCGGUCCUUUAAGUCGGGGGUGAAGGCCCAGAGCUCAACUCUGGAACUGCCUUCGAAACUAGAGGACUUGGGUACGGGAGAGGUGAGUGGAAUUCCGAGUGUAGAGGUGAAAUUCGUAGAUAUUCGGAAGAACACCAGUGGCGAAGGCGGCUCACUGGCCCGUUACCGACGCUCAGGCGCGACAGCGUGGGGAGCAAACAGG
rnacentral:rRNA from 1 species